UUAGAUCACCGAAGUCAAGCAUCAUUGAGGCGGUCAGUACUUGGGUGGGUGACCACCUGGGAACACCGCGUGCCGUU
rnacentral:rRNA from 1 species